rnacentral:rRNA from 2 species
GACGAACGCUGGCGGCGCGCCUAACACAUGCAAGUCGAACGAUUAAAGCACCUUCGGGUGUGUAUAAAGUGGCGAACGGCUGAGUAACACGUGGGCAACCUGCCCCUUUCAUUGGGAUAGCCACGGGAAACCGUGGAUAAUACCGAAUACUUCGAGACUUCCGCAUGGAAGACUCGAGAAAGCUCCGGCGGAGAGGGAUGGGCCCGCGGCCUGUUAGCUUGUUGGUGGGGUAACGGCCUACCAAGGCAAUGAUGGGUAGCUGGGUUGAGAGACCGACCAGCCAGAUUGGGACUGAGACACGGCCCAGACUCCUACGGGAGGCAGCAGUGGGGAAUCUUGCACAAUGGGCGAAAGCCUGAUGCAGCGACGCCGCGUGCGGGAUGAAGGCCUUCGGGUUGUAAACCGCUUUCAGCAGGGACGAGGCGAAAGUGACGUACCUGCAGAAGAGCCCC